rnacentral:rRNA from 1 species
ACGCUCGACACCUACGGGAGCAGCAGUUAGGAAUAUUGGGCAAUGGAGGAAACUCUGACCCAGCAACGCCGCGUGAAGGAAGAAGGUUUUCGGAUUGUAAACUUCUGAUCUAGGGGAAGAAGGAAGUGACGGUACCCUAGGAGAAAGCCACGGCUAACUACGUGCCAGCAGCCGCGGUAAUCUGAGGCGGGCUGGACAAGGC